UACGUAGGCAGCAAGCGUUGUUCGGAAUUACUGGGCGUAAAGCGUGUGUAGGCGGUGCCGUAAGUUUGGUGUGAAAUCUCCCGGCUUAACUGGGAGGGUGCGCCGAAGACUGCGGUGCUCGAGUAGCGGAGAGGAAAGCGGAAUUCCUGGUGUAGCGGUGAAAUGCGUACAUAUCAGGAGGAACACCCGCGGUGUAGACGUCUUUCUAGACGCUCACUGAUGCUGAGACACGAAAGCGUGGGUAGCAAACAGG
rnacentral:rRNA from 1 species